rnacentral:rRNA from 1 species
AGAUCUACCUCCCACCCAUUGUUUAUUGACCUGUUGCUUCGGCAGGACGUUCCUUUUGGGACCGUCGGCUUUUUUGCGGGCGAGUUCCUGCCGAAGGAUAACAAACUCUUACCUAUAGUCUGAGAAAAUAUUAAAAAAUCAAAACUUUCAACAACGGAUCUCUUGGUUCUGGCAUCGAUGAAGAACGCAGCGAAAUGCGAUAAGUAAUGUGAAUUGCAGAAUUUAGUGAAUCAUCGAAUCUUUGAACGCACAUUGCACCUCUUGGUAAUCCUCGAGGUAUACCUGUUCGAGCGCCGUUUGUGUCUAAGGCUUUGCCUUGCGUUGAAGCUCCCCGUGAGGGGUCCUUCCAAACACAUCGGCGUCCUACGUGGCAUCGAAACGCAGAGAAAUGCGGCGAGAAGUCAUGGAGGGCGGCCAAACUACGAAAGCAUGGCCUCGGAUCAGGUAGGGAUACCCGCUGAACUUAAGCAUAUCAAUA